rnacentral:rRNA from 1 species
CGUGUAGGCGGUCCGGUAAGUCAGCUGUGAAAGUCAAGGGCUCAACCCUUGAAAGCCGGUUGAUACUGUCGGGCUAGAGUCCGGAAGAGGCGAGUGGAAUUCCCGGUGUAGCGGUGAAAUGCGCAGAUAUCGGGAGGAACACCAAUGGCGAAGGCAGCUCGCUGGGACGGUACUGACGCUGAGACGCGAAAGCGUGGGGAGCAAACA